UACGUAGGGUCCGAGCGUUGUCCGGAAUUAUUGGGCGUAAAGGGCUCGUAGGCGGUUUGUCACGUCGGGCGUGAAAACUCAGGGCUCAACCCUGAGCGUGCUUCCGAUACGGGCAGGCUAGAGGUAUGCAGGGGAGAACGGAAUUCCUGGUGUAGCGGUGGAAUGCGCAGAUAUCAGGAGGAACACCGGUGGCGAAGGCGGUUCUCUGGGCAUUACCUGACGCUGAGGAGCGAAAGCAUGGGGAGCGAACAGG
rnacentral:rRNA from 1 species